rnacentral:rRNA from 1 species
GACGUAGGGCGCGAGCGUUGUCCGGAUUUAUUGGGCGUAAAGAGCUCGUAGGCGGCUUGUCGCGUCGGGAGUGAAAACACCGGGCUUAACUCGGUGCUUGCUUUCGAUACGGGCAGACUGGAGGUAUGCAGGGGAGAACGGAAUUCCUGGUGUAGCGGUGAAAUGCGCAGAUAUCAGGAGGAACACCGGUGGCGAAGGCGGUUCUCUGGGCAUUACCUGACGCUGAGGAGCGAAAGUGUGGGGAGCGAACAGG